rnacentral:rRNA from 1 species
AGAGUUUGAUUCUGGCUCAAGAUGAACGCUGGCGGCGUGCCUAACACAUGCAAGUCGAGCGAAGCGCUUGAAUCUGAUUCUUCGGAUGAGGAUUCUUGUGACUGAGCGGCGGACGGGUGAGUAACGCGUGGGCAACCUGCCUUACACAGGGGGAUAACAGUUAGAAAUGACUGCUAAUACCGCAUAAGACCGCAGUACCGCAUGGUACAGCGGUAAAAACUCCGGUGGUGUAAGAUGGGCCCGCGUCUGAUUAGGUAGUUGGCGGGGUAACGGCCCACCAAGCCGACGAUCAGUAGCCGACCUGAGAGGGUGACCGGCCACAUUGGGACUGAGACACGGCCCAGACUCCUACGGGAGGCAGCAGUGGGGAAUAUUGCACAAUGGGGGAAACCCUGAUGCAGCGACGCCGCGUGAGCGAUGAAGUAUUUCGGUAUGUAAAGCUCUAUCAGCAGGGAAGAAAAUGACGGUACCUGACUAAGAAGCCCCGGCUAACUACGUGCCAGCAGCCGCGGUAAUACGUAGGGGGCAAGCGUUAUCCGGAUUUACUGGGUGUAAAGGGAGCGUAGACGGCUGUGCAAGCCAGAUGUGAAAGCCCGGGGCUCAACCCCGGGACUGCAUUUGAAACUGUGUGGCU